UGCGGGAAUCACAUGCCGCCGCCACCUGGACGCGCUAGCCACUGCUACCACAGGGGACACGGGCGCACGUGGCAGCCGCUGCUGCCACAGGAGCCACGGGCUCAAGUGGAAGUCGUCAUUGCCUCAGGUCCUUCGAUCGUGCGGCUGGCUUCGAUUCUUCAGUGACAGCUGAAUUAGCUGAAGGCGACAAUGAGCAUCAAUUUGUUUUCCUUAGAUGAACAUUCUACAUUAAGUUGUAACUUCUUCAGUACAGGUUGCAUGCAAUUUUUUUAUGGAAAUAAAGUUAUAUUGCAAGAACUGGAACUGAAGGAAGACCCAAACUCUGAGCACCACAUUCUCUAAGGGCCCUUCUAUUUGAAAUACACUUAUGCAGAAGUAUGCCCUUAUUGCUUUUGUAAUGUAUGUGACUUCUUAUUUGAAAUACACUUAUGCAGAAGUAUGACUUCAGUGCUAUUGUACUAUAUGUGACUGACAUCUAGAUGCACUUCUGAAGAUCAUUUGUAUGUCUUGCAUGUGGCAUAAUUGUAUGUGUGACCGACUUCAUUUUUAUACGUGCGUUGCACGUGCACGCU